UUAUGUGUUUACAAUUAUGCGGAAAACUAGCGCUGCCGCAUUGUAGAUACCAUAUAUAAAUUCAUCCAUAAAUUUCUCUUUUUGCGAAAAUUCCUCUUCUUUUAUUUAAAAAAAAUAAAUUUUUAAAAAUCAUAUCGAGGACAGUCUUUUAUUUUGCUAACACUUGUAUUGGCUUGACCAGAAAGGAGUUUUACGCGAAAAAACUUCGAACACACCUGGUUUUGGCUCGACCAGGGUAAUUUUUUUAAAGCGAGGCCGAAGGCCGCCAAUGCAGAAAGGAGUUCUACACGAAAAAAAACUUCGGACAUCGCUGGAAAGAUUUUUUAUAUACAUCCUUGAUGCAGAAGAGAGUUUUACGAGAAAAAACUAUGGCUGGUAUUGUCACCGGCGAAGCGAACAUACUUGGCGAGUCGAACGCUUCGGCGAAAAUUCGACUCGUUCGUAUUGUGACUGGCGAAUGAACACAUUCGCCUAACUUCUUUGUUGCCAUACCAAAAUAAUUGAAAAAUGCCACACGAAUUCAUCCAAAAUUGACAUUUUUGACAUCUUUAAUUUGAAUAUUGUUUUUGUUUACAAAAUUUAUUUUGAAUUUCAUACAACCAAAUCAAAAAGUCCAUAAAUUGUUGUUUCUAUUUAAACGUAAACAAAAAUUGUGUACUUGAAGAAAUGUGUGAUAUAAAGUUCGAUGACCAAGAUUGGUUCAAUAAAGAUAAAGAAGACAUAUUGUAGAGCUUACAGUGCAAUGAUUCUGUGAAAGCUACGGAAGCUAAUAUAUAAUAUAUUCAUAAAUAUAUAAACAGAUGAAUACCUUCAGCAAAAACGUCUAGAAGCUACUUCGGAUCUUGUGAAAGGUGCAAAGAUAAAAAAGAUGAAUACAACAGAGAAGCGUAAAGCAAUUAAUAUGGAACUUUUGGACACUUUUCUCUUCAUUAAAACAAACGAAACUGAUUUCUUCGUUGAUUAAAUUUCAUCUAGUGACGUAUUGGAACCGGUUAUUUUAUAAUUGCGUAUUUGGUUUAAUGUGUGUGAACUGGAGCUUCCUGGAUUUCAAAGGGAGCUUUUACAAUACUUUGUGAACAAUGAAAUAUUCUUAGAACAAUUACGUGUUUUAAGUACUAAACUGUUGCGAAAAAAAUUUAAAGCAUUAUGGAGAAAUAUCGAAGAGGCUGGAACCAGUUGAAAAAAACUUCAGUGGUUCAGCAGCGGAAGACAAAUAACGAAUUCUUUGUAAAUAUUGUAGUUACAUCCCUAAAUGCGAAAUUCGACUGAAAUUUCAUUCGCUUCGCCAGUGACAAUACCAGCCUAUGAUAUGCUAAUAAAUAAAACACAGUCAUUAAAAAAUCUAUCAUCUAUGGUUUCUAACAUGUGGCAACAUUCGUGUUCCACAUAACUGUAAACACAGAAACCUUUUCAGCGAUCAGUGAUUUUUAAAAUAAGUAAUUUUUGCUUAAAAAAUCUAUAUUUUAAAUUAAAUUGAAUGUUAAUAGUGUAAUUUUCAAUAUGUGAAGUGAAAAAUGUGAAAAAAUAGUGUUAGUGUGUGAAAUUCCAUGUGUUACUUAUAGAAAAAAUUGGACUUUUAAACAUGAAUAUUUUAAAAACUAUUAGUCCAAUCAAUAAUAUUUAUAUAUAUUCCUGCUCUGGAGUCUCCUUUUUCAUCCAUUUAUACCGAUCGGAGUUGUCAAUCCCCGACCGCCAAAAAGAAAAAUCUUCGCGACUGGAACUAUUAGAGCUACAAACUAAAGCUCAGGAAAUUGUACUAUGUCCAGAACAAAUUUAUAAUGCAGUUGAAUCCGAGUUAUAUUGGAAGCUUUUUCUUUUUCUAGAAUUGAUUGCCUCAAAAGAAAAAAAUUGAUUACCUCUUCUUAACAAUGUAUCUUCGCAUCCAAACGAAGAUUAAUUAAAGUCUGCAGACGGCUGAAUUCCAGCCGUAUUUUUGCUUCCGAAUGUCCCUAAGUUAAUUCAAUAAAUGGAUCGAAACGCAAUAAGAAUAACAAAAAUACAUAUUGAAAUUCGAAAAUAUCCAAACAACUAACUUGAAGUGUUUUCAGCAACCAAAUGGAAGGAUGAAUAUUCUCAAAUGCUUAUUUCCUGAGGUUACUUUUAUAUACGAAGAAAUAAAUAUCUGGAAUAUAGACCUUAGAAAGCAAUUCGGAAGAUCAAUUUGAGGAAAAUGAACCCUAACGAACGAUGAAAUGAACAUCCAAAGUGGAAUCAAUUGGAAAGUUGUACAAUGUUAAACAGUUAGAUGCCGUCGUCAAGAAAACUGUUUCCAUUUAUCGCCAAAAUGGAUUAGUGUGUGGCAACUUGAAAGCAAAUUCUUGAACGUAUAACUUCCGGGUUAGUUCGAAUUUUCGCGAGUGCACUGAUAUAAUAAAAGAGGGCUGAGGUAAAGUGGUCCAGAAGCCCGGGAAAUCGUGAGCAUCGUUUUGAAAAAAAAGGAGAAACACGUUUUAAUGUCGCGCCAUCUUCGUAUCUGGGAAAAUCCUCAUAAAAGCGAGAUUCUUUAACAGAUCGCUUAUUUGCGCACAAGCUCCAACGGAAGAGAAGGACGAUGUGACCAAAUAUAUAGCGCCUCUGAAUGCUGCUCCCGCCACGAUGUCAAAAUCGUGCUUGGCGAUUUUAACGCUAGGAUGGGUAAAGAAGAUGUCUUUGGCAUAACAGUAGGAAAAUUCAGCCUCCAUGGCAAAACAUCGCCAAACAGCCUGAGGCUUAUCGACUUCGCUGGGACCCGAAAUAUGGUCGUCAGUAGUACGAGAUUCCAGCAUAAGAAAAUCCAUCAAGCAACAUGGAUGUCUCCUGAUCGAAAUACGCAUAACCAAAUCGAUCAUGCUGUGAUAGACGGAAGACACGUCUCCAGUGUUUUAAAGGUGCGUGCGCUCCGAGGACCAAAUGUACACUGGGACCAUUAUCUAGUAGCAGCGAAGAUACGCACCCGCCUCUGUGCAGCAUAGAACCCCCGUCAACAAAGACAAGGAAGGUCCGACGUCGAAAAGCUGCAAUCGUAACACUACUACUCAACUUGCACUCUUGUGAAUGCACCGUAUUUCCAAAAUUAGCUAUCAAAAAGCACUGACAAAUUAUCAGCAGAUACAUCAACAUUAAAUACAUCCUCUUUUAAUUCUGGAUUUAUAUUAAUUUAAACUCUUUCAUAUUUGAAGUUAAAUUUUCGGACAUUGUACAUUUUAAUUUUGACGAGAUGUAAAACAUGGUAAUCUCGAAAUGAAAAUUUACUUUUUUGAUAGUAUUACAACCACAUUUUUAGCCACAGUAUUUUUAAGAGACUGAUCUUGGAUAGAUCAGAUUGUCAGCUACAACUUUCGAUUGAUUUUUUUAGAUGUCGAAGGGGACUUUCUAUGAGGGAAAGUGGAAGAAAUAUUGAUAAGGUCGAUAAGGUUGAUAAGGGUUCGAGAAGAUAAAAUAAACUUCAAUAUAUUUAAAACUGGAAGAAACAUUUAAUGUUGUAAUUUAAAAAAAGGAUAAUAAAGUGAGAGUACAUAAAUAGGUGCAUCAUAACUGCUGGACCACCCACUUAAAGGUAUAAUUUAGAUUAUUUCGAAUACUUUAUCAUCGAAUGAAAUAUAUAGGAUAUUAGCGGUAUUCGAUUAAUCAUUUGAGUAAAUAAAACGUAAGGCAUAGACGCUGCCACAAAGAAACUGGCGCAUCACUUAACCAAUCGAUGACAGCUAUUAUAGCUAAUAUUCAUGCGUUGAAAUUAAACGUACAUUCCGUCAAAUAAGUAACCGGAAAUUCUAAUUUUAAAAUUUUCCGCUGAGAAUAUUAAAAAAAAAAACAUUUUCCCCCCCAAGUUGGCACAACUGUCAGCCACUAUUCUGUCAAUUUUUAUUGAUAUGUGUCAUUUAGUUUGUUUACGGCGUCAUUAGGAACAAGUCAACCUUUUGUGUGCGUUGCGAUUUUUAUAUGCCCCUCUUUGAACGAUUUAUACCAAUCGUAAACUUGAGUUUUCACAUGUUUGAAUCACCAAAUGUUUUUUCAACGUUUUGGCACAAGAAAUUUCGUUUGAAACACAAAAUUCACACAAACUAAUAAUAAUUUGUUAAUUACUAACUAAUUUUAGAAUUUCCGUGUAAUUAUUUGACAGAAUAUAUUAUGCAAGUAUAACAUACAAAUGUUUUUUUUUUAACAUUUCCCAUGUUUUGGCACAAGAAAUUUCGUAUUUACACACAUAAUUUUGAUUUUAUAUUUUAAGUACCAUAUAUUUCUUAGUUGAAGAUUUAUAAGAGAACGAAUGAAAAUAUGCAUAUAAGAAUACUUCUACAAUCCUAUCGUAUUUUAAAGCCCAUUUAAGUAAAUACUAAAUAUACCAAACUCUGUAACUCUACUCUUAAGUUAUGUGCUGAACACAUAGAAGACGGCAAGCGACCAGCGACAUCUGUCAAAUAUUAAAAUACACGCGUUCUUAUGGACACAGAUUUUUUGACAACAGCACGACUACGCGACAACAGGCUUGUAGUUGUCGUUGUCGCUAAAUUAAAAAUGUUUCUAAUUUUGGCGACGACAAUAGGUAGCUGUAGAGUUGCCACUAAUAUGUGAAAUGUAAAAUUAUUAAAAGUUAUAACAAAUAUGACGUUAUUUUGCCAGCAGAAACGUAAAAUAGCUUUCAUAUAUCAUUUAUAAUAACAACCGAUUAUUUAAAACAAAUAAAUCGCCAAUUUUUACAUUUUUUGCACAAAUAAUUUCACUUAAACUAUAUAUGUAAAUUUUAUUGAAGUGAAAGAUUUUAUUACUGCAACAAUGAAAUUGCUGUUUGAUAUGUCGCUGCCGUCUUCAAAAAGUUCAAGACGUGGCACAGUGGGCCCAAUGGAGCUUAUUUCUCGGAUUAAUUAAAAAAAAAUAUAUGAAGAUCCUUUAAAACUAUGUAUACUUGCUUAAAGUACACAAAAUUCUACAUCACUAAGCAAAAAAAAAUAAAUGUCAAAUACGUAGUAGUGUAAUUCUAAAAAUUUGUAAAACUUAACCAUCGAACCAUCAAACUCAGGUAAUAAUUGAACUUUGUUUGCUAAAUUGUGUGUAAAGUUAUAAUUGCAAAAGUAUGUUUUUUUGAGAUUACAUAUAUGAAGUGCAAAAAAUUUAUUUUCUUAGUUUAACUAGACAAAAAGUUGGUAGUUCAAUUGAGUUCAGAUAAGAUUUAAACACCAUUGGAAAAUUAAGUGUUAUUUUAGAGAAAUUUAGGUUGCGCAUCAGUGCGCCUCAGAAGAUAUGCUCGCAUUUGUAAUAAUAUUCCUUAUGCAAUUUAUAAAUUAAAUUUGCUUCUGGACUGCAGCUUGUGCGCCUAACGGUUUUUUUGUUGUUACAUUUACUGUGUUGUUUAUACUGUUGGAGUUUCGUAGGAUUUGCUUUUGUUGCUGUUAUUUUAUAUUUUUAUUUUUUGUUUUGUUUUAAUAUACCAUCUUUUAAGAGUCAUGUGAUUAAAUUUUGCAGGAACAUGCUCAAACGUCGUUUUUUUACUCGCCUCAGCUUGUACAAUAUUUUCAAUUAUGUCAGCUGUAGGAUAUUGGAUGAAAAAAUCAUGCAUUUAAAAGAAGAGCUAAAAAAUCGUACUUUUUAUUCUGAAGACAACUCUCAUGUUUUCAAUGAACGAAUAAACAAAUUUGUAUUUGAGUUUAAGAAAAAAUGGAAUAAGGCCCAUAGAAGGGAAGACAGAUUUCUAUCUGAUAUUAAUAAGAAUUGGCUACAAUCGUCAAUUGUGUGUAAAUUAAAAAAACUAAAUUUUUAAGAGACACCACAGAGUUACGAGUUUUACUUCAUGCAGUAGAAACUAAAUUAAGAACAACCGGCUCCGUAGAAAAAUCAAAAGCGAUACGUAGUAUCGUACAUUUUUCACCAGCAACAGCCAAAAGUUUUAACGAAAGUUUAAAGAAACCUAUAAUCAGUACAAAAAUGUCAAAUCUUAAAGCUCUAGCUGUCUUCGUAGAAGCUAAGCUGUCUCGCUACCAAUACAUUGUUGUUAGACAAUCUGCUCCAGAUAAGUUUCCAACAUAUAAAAUUAUGCAAAAAGAGAAAAAAAGAGCUAUCCAGAAUAUCGGUGCAUUACAAUAAGCGAAACUUCCGCUGAAGUAAGUUUACAAGCACUAUUAAACCACAUAGCAGAACGAUUAAUACAAAUUCAUGAAAACCGUAUUGACUCGUUAAGUAACCAAAAACUCCAACUGCAUGCUAAAUGGGGAUUUGAUGGGAGCUCUGGUCACAGUUCGUACAAGCAAGCUUUUCAUGGAUGUGAUGGUAUCGAUUCCUCCGUAUUUUUAACCACAAUUGUGCCUCUCAAACUUAUGUUGGCUGAACAAGUAAUUUGGAAAAAAUCUUUGACCAUCAUAAACUAGAUUUUGUAGGCCCCUAAAAAUUUAAUUUGUGAAGUAAACCAUUGAGGCGAUUACGGAAAAGGAAAGGGUAGAACAAGAGAUUAAGAAUUUAAUUUGUACAACUAUACUAGUUAAUGACAAAGUUGUAUAUGUGGAUCACAAAUUAAUUUUGACAAUGAUUGAUGGGAAGGUGUGCAUGCUUUAACUGGAACUACAUCAACACAAAAGUGCUAAGGAUUUUAACAAUAUAGAAGACAUGAUCGAAAGACCUGUAAAUGUAGAAAACUUGAAAUUUGGCUUAUUUGUUCUUCACGGAUGGAUUAGAUUUUUUGAAAGUCUCCUACAUAUUUCAUACAAAUUACCGAUACAGAAAUGACAAGCUAGAACCGAUUAAGAAAAACAAAUCAUUUCUGAGACGAAGCGAAGAAUUCAGAAGCAAUUUAAAGAAACUUUAGGAUUAAUAGUGGACCAACAAAAACCUAGCUUUAAUAAUAAACCCAAAUUAUUACCCUCCUCCUCCCGCCCAACCGACGCGUGGGGCGUAGUCCGCAUACGAGCGGAAUUUGCAGAGUCUAGAAAGGCAAGAGAUUUUUAAGCGUUCAGUUCUCAAACUGCUCAACUACAGAAAGAAACAUUUCAACAGCUGAGAUUUAAAAAUUUAUAAAAACAAAAAGUUAAAAAUUUCUGAAUUUUACUUAUUAAGAGAAGACAAAAUAGUUUUUUUGAUGCUAAAUAUUGAGUCAGAUGGAUCAAAUGUGCUGGAAUGAGAAUUAAAAUCCUGACAUAUUCGGCGGAAUGGUUCGUUUAACUCAAAAUUUGUUCUAGAAGACCAUUACUUCGGUCUAAACUGCCUAGUUGAACGCAAUGCGAUAUUAAACUUAAUAUCAGACAAUAGGAAUGAACUACAAACUAAACCAUUCAGAAGUUUUACUAGGAAUAUUAUACCUAGCAUUUCUCUGCGACUAGUGAGUGUUGGAAGAUUUAUAAGUUUUAAACGACUAGUAUACGGAGAAGAUUCAAACUUGAAUCUCAAUGUAAGUGGCCUAAAGCAAAAAGUAAAAAUUGUUUUUGAACGGACUCAAGCUUAUCAGAAUGGGAUUGAUAGCAAGGAUUCCAUAUCACAGAACCAUACUCCUCACUAAAUUCUUUAGACCAACGUUUAACAAAGCUAAGAGCACCUUUAGAUUUUAAGACAAUUGAAUUUACAUGAGAAUUAAAAUUUAGUUUAGGGUCCAUAGUAACUCCUAAAUCAACAAAGCUAAAAACUUGCUCUAAACUGAAGUUAUAAACUACAUAGGGAGAAAGAUCAACAGUUCUACGGGAAAAGCACAUCGUUUUACAUUUUUUAAGAUUCAGUGGCAUAUCAUUUUUGUGACACCAAGUAACUAAAUUAUUUAAAUCCGAUUGCAACUCAGUCCUUUCGUUAUAAGAAGUAUAUGAUUAAGUUUUACAUCAUCCGCAUAUAAUAAAAUUUCUGAAAACUUAAUUACAGAAGGUAUAUCAUUGAUGAACAACAAGAACAGAAUCGGGCCGAGAUGACUACCCUGUGGAACUCCUGAAGUGACACUAAUUGAAUCGGAUAAUGUAUUAUUAAAUAAAACUUGUUGUUUUCUGUUAGUAAGAUAUGAGGAUACCCAUUCAAGAAGAAACACCCAAACAAAUCCAUUUGGAAACACAAAUGACGGUAAUACCAGACGUUUUUUUCAAAAUGCAGAAAAGUCUGCUGAAAUAACCUCUAAAAAUUUAAAUUUGAUAAAGCAAAUGGACAUUCUUUUAAUCCUGGUGUCUAGUGAGUAUGAAAUAAGCAACAAAAAAUUUCGAGUUUUUUCACGUAAAACAGCAAAACUUUUUGUUAAGUUGUAUCCGUGGUACAACAUGCCCCCGACUUUGCACAAAUACUUUAUACACGGACCUGAAAUUAUUGAUAACACUUUUGCCUAUUGGCCAAUUAUCAGAAGAAGCACAAGAUGCUCGCAGUCGGGAAUUACAUUCAAGAAAGUGCAGCCGCGAAAAGUCUAAUCAAGAUAUUCUCAAUUCUUUAUUUUUUAACCUCAGAUCCAAUAAUUUCAAGCAUGCGAAGAUUGCCAAAAAAGAACUUGCAAAAUUUACCAGAAGAGGCUGUCGAUUUAAUUAUACGUGAUGAGUAUGGAAAUGAUAGUGAAGAUGUUGAUGAUGAUGAUGAUGAUGUCGACGAUGACGAUGAUGAUGUUAGUGAAGGUGACAAGUAUUACAAUGAGAGUUUAGAUGCAGAUGACAUCGAUAUUAAAUAAGAAUUUUUUGGAAUUGCUUCAAUUCUAUAGUCAUAUCUAGUAAAUCAUUAUUUUAAUAUUACAGCUGCAUCCAAAUCUUCUUAAAAACUAUUUGUUGUGACUUACUGGAUUUGAAUAAAAUAUAAAAUAAUCAAAAAUUAUAAAAAUAAAGCUUCACUUAAUUAAUCCGAGAAAUGAGCUCCAUUGGCCCCACUGUGCGCUGGUUUCAAAGCGACAUUUGCAAUUAGCCGUCGCUACGUCGUGUCGUCGUUUUUGUGUUCAGCACAUUAGUCUUAUUGUUGAAAUUUAAGAGAUCUAUUUAUUUGGAUUUUGACUCUUAUAGUAAAUUAGCGAUAUCUAAAUAAUAUUAUUAACACAUAUCAUAUCACGUUUUACACCUACCUUU